GUCUCUGUGGCGCAAUGGCCCAGCGCGUUACGUGUUACAGAAAGGUUGGUGGUUCGAGCCCACCCAGGGACG